rnacentral:lncRNA from 1 species
UUUUUUGUUUUUUUUUUUUGCAGUUUUCACACCAUCUCAUGAGUUUGCAUGAUCUACCUUAUACUUUUAAGGUUUGUUAACUUCUUUGUCCACAUAAUUUUUGGAAAACAUACAUGAAAUGUAUUUUAACAAAAUUGAUGAUUUCAUUUUAUUGGGGCAAAGACAUGUACACAUAAAGAAGUGGUACAACUGAGGUAAGUUUAAA